rnacentral:rRNA from 1 species
UUAGAGUUUGAUCCUGGCUCAGAUUGAACGCUGGCGGCAGGCCUAACACAUGCAAGUCGAGCGGAUGAAGGGAGCUUGCUCUCUGAUUCAGCGGCGGACGGGUGAGUAAUGCCUAGGAAUCUGCCUGGUAGUGGGGGACAACGUUUCGAAAGGAACGCUAAUACCGCAUACGUCCUACGGGAGAAAGCAGGGGACCUUCGGGCCUUGCGCUAUCAGAUGAGCCUAGGUCGGAUUAGCUAGUAGGUGAGGUAAUGGCUCACCUAGGCGACGAUCCGUAACUGGUCUGAGAGGAUGAUCAGUCACACUGGAACUGAGACACGGUCCAGACUCCUACGGGAGGCAGCAGUGGGGAAUAUUGGACAAUGGGCGAAAGCCUGAUCCAGCCAUGCCGCGUGUGUGAAGAAGGUCUUCGGAUUGUAAAGCACUUUAAGUUGGGAGGAAGGGCAGUAAGUUAAUACCUUGCUGUUUUGACGUUACCAACAGAAUAAGCACCGGCUAACUUCGUGCCAGCAGCCGCGGUAAUACGAAGGGUGCAAGCGUUAAUCGGAAUUACUGGGCGUAAAGCGCGCGUAGGUGGUUCAGCAAGUUGGAGGUGAAAUCCCCGGGCUCAACCUGGGAACUGCCUCCAAAACUACUGAGCUAGAGUACGGUAGAGGGUAGUGGAAUUUCCUGUGUAGCGGUGAAAUGCGUAGAUAUAGGAAGGAACACCAGUGGCGAAGGCGACUACCUGGACUGAUACUGACACUGAGGUGCGAAAGCGUGGGGAGCAAACAGGAUAAGAUACCCUGGUAGUCCACGCCGUAAACGA